UACAGAGGGGGCAAGCGUUGUUCGGAAUUACUGGGCGUAAAGGGCGCGUAGGCGGCCUGUUAAGUCGAACGUGAAAUCCCCGGGCUCAACCCGGGAACUGCGUCCGAUACUGGCAGGCUUGAAUUCGGGAGAGGGAUGCGGAAUUCCAGGUGUAGCGGUGAAAUGCGUAGAUAUCUGGAGGAACACCGGUGGCGAAGGCGGCAUCCUGGACCGAGAUUGACGCUGAGGUGCGAAAGCGUGGGGAGCAAACAGG
rnacentral:rRNA from 1 species